UACGUAGGGGGCUAGCGUUGUCCGGAUUUAUUGGGCGUAAAGAGCGUGUAGGCGGCCUGGUAGGUCUGCUGUGAAAACUCGAGGCUCAACCUCGAGAUGUCGGCGGAAACCACUUGGCUAGAGUCCGGAAGAGGAGAGUGGAAUUCCUGGCGUAGCGGUGAAAUGCGCAGAUAUCAGGAAGAACACCUAUGGCGAAGGCAGCUCUCUGGGACGGUACUGACGCUGAGACGCGAAAGCGUGGGGAGCAAACAGG
rnacentral:rRNA from 1 species